CUAAAAAAAGGGCUAAGAACGGCAGACCCCUUUCUGGACAAAAAUUCAAUCGCCGCCCACCCCAAGAACGAAGAUCUGAUUCUCUCGAAAAUUGAGAGCAUGUUUGGACACACAUAAGAACACAAAGAUUACUCUCUAUUUCGCCUUGAGGGAUUUCUCAUGGGUUAAGUCAAAAUUUCAGUUUCUUUUGCAAGACCUUGAGCAUUCUUCAUAUAAUUCCCCUUUGUUGAUUGAACGGGCUACCAAACGACCCUUUUGUUGAUUGAAGUUGUCAUCGUAAAAAUCCAGUAAAGUUAAAUAUUUUGUUCUUUACAUGGAGUUUACUUGGUAACUUGAUUGACUACACCAUUGCAUCCUUUUUGAUGGUACUUCAACGGUGAUUAUUAUUCAUCUUAUGAGCUUUGCGGUAGGAUUGAGAGUUUUCGAGUUUUUCGGUUGCCGAUUCAGGUUCUGUUCGUGGUCGUCGGUUCCUGAUCUUGACCGCUGGUGCCGGUCCUGAAUUUUCGUGGGACCUUAGAAAAGUCAUUAGCUUUUGACGGGUGGUCUCUGAAUCAAUUCAGGUCAUCUCCCACACUUUCUUAUUGCUCAUCCAUUUAUUGUAGAAGUUGAUUACUCUGAUAUAAUGUGAAACGUGUUUACUAUGUAUUGUCAGGUAGUUAGUAAUUAAAUCCUUCUUAUAUUAGAGUAUUUUAACUUAUUACAGUAAGUUAUUUAUUUCAUUAUUUAUGUUACCACAUUAGGUCUGCUGUAAAAAAUUAAAUCUUUGUUUUAGAUAUCAAUCUAAAUUUUAUAACAUAAUUAUAUACUAUGGUAGCGUUAUGGUAGUGUUAGCAAUUUUCUUGGCAUGUUUAAAGUGUAAUUGCCAAUACUAUAAAAGUUGAACCAUAUUGGAUUUGGCGUCAAUUUAUAAUGAGAAUAAGAAGCUUUGUUCCGUGACACCAAGUGAACGUAGAUGAGAUUUCCAUUAAUACAUACUAUAAUAUAUUGGACAAAAUAGGCCCCACUACCAUUGAUUUAGAGAUAACACAAUUUAUAAAUAUCCGUAGCUUGCUUUAGGCACAAUUAAAUAAAUCAUCGUGACUAUGGGUACGGUUCCCAUGGUCACGAUACGUAAUCCCCAAUUCGGGUGUGCAUUUCAUGUGACCCGAUCAUAACUUCGAACAAUAAUUAAAAUAAACAUGUCGCGAAUCGCGGGUGCAUUUCAGGUAGCGUGGUUUGCGGUGUGUUCCAAAACUAUAAGUGUACAAUAAUAGGCCAAUUAUUAAUAGUUUAAGCGACCGUGCUCGAACCACGGAACCCGGGAAUGCCUAACACCUUCUCACGGGUUAACAGAAUUCCUUAUCUAGAAUUUCUAGUUUCGCAGACUUUUAAAUAAAGUCAAAAUUUCCUCAAUUUAGGAUUUAAAAUAAACUGGUGAUUUGGGACACCAAAUAAACUAUCCCAAGUGGCGACUCUGAUAAAUAAAUAAUCCCAUUUCGAAUAAUGUCGCUUUAAUUGGAAAAACUCCCCUAUACCCCAUCGGGUGUGUAAAAAGGAGGUGUGACAACUACCAGUCGAGUACUCAGAUGGCUCCAUAUGAGGCUUUGUAUGGGAGGUGGUGUAGAUCUCUAGUUGGUUGGUUCGAGCUCAGUAAGGCUAGGCUACUGGGGACUGAUUUGGUGCAGGAUGCUUUGGAGAAUGUGAAGUUGAUUUAGGAGAGGCUUCGUACAGUGCAGUCGAGGCAAAAGAGUUAUGCUAAUAGGAAGGUUCGAGAUGUGUCCUACAUGGUUGGCGAGAAGGUUCUAUUGAAGGUUUCACCCAUGAAGGGUGUUAUGAAAUUUGGGAAGAAAGGGAAAUUGAGUCCGCGGUUCAUUGGGCCUUUUGAGGUGCUUUGGAGAAUUGGGGAGGUGGCUUAUGAGCUUGCUUUGCCACCCAGCUUGUCGAGUGUGCAUCCGGUAUUUCAUGUUUCUAUGCUUCAAAAGUAUAUUGGGAAUCCGUCUCAUGUUUUGGAUUUCAGCACGGUUCAGUUGGAUGAUGAUUUGACCUAUGAUGUGGAGCCAAUAACUAUUUUGGGCCGUCAGGUUCGAAAGUUGAGGUCAAAGGAUAUAGCUUCAGUGAAGUGCAGGGGGGAGGUCUGCUCAUGGAGGAGCCUACCUAGGAGACCGAACGGGAGAUGCGGAGCAGAUAUCCUCACCUGUUUAAAGCUUCAGGUAUGUUUCUUGACUUGUUCGAGGACGAACAUUUGUUUAAGUUGGGGAGGAUGUGACGACCCAGCUAGUCGUCUCAAGAGUUACCACUCUGUUUCCCCCAUUUUUGCUUCUUUAUGCUUCGUUAUCCAUGUUUUGUGGUAUCGGGCUGGUCAGAUCGUGUCCGAAAUGAUUUUGGUAAGGUAUGAGACACUUAGUCUUUUUUAAGGAAGUUUAAGUUGGAAAAGUCAACCGGAUGUUGACUUAUUUGUUAGAGGGCUCGGAUGUGAGUUCCGAUGGUUCGGUUAGCUUCAGGAGGUGAUUUAUGGCUUAGGAGCAUGAUCGGAAUGAGUUUUGGAGGUUCGGAGUAGUAUUAGGCUUGAAUUGGCGAAGUUGAUAUUUUGGCGAUUUCCGGUUGGUAGGCGAGAUUUUGAAAUAGGGGUUGGAAUGGAAUUCCGAGAGUUGCAGUAGCUUUUUUGGGUCAUUUGGGAUGUGUGUGUAAAUUUUCAGGUCAUUCAGACGUGGUUUGGUUAGGUUUUUGAUCGAAAGUGGAAUUUGGAAGAUUUUAGAAAAUUUGGCUUGAAUCCGAUGUGUUUUGGGUGAUUUGAUGUUGUUUCAGGUGUUUUGAUGAUUGGAACAAAUUUGAAUAAGGUAUUGGGUUAUGUUUGUGCUUUUGGUUGAGGUCCUGGGGGCCUCGGGGUGAUUUUGGAUGGUUAAUGGAGAAGUUGGAAUUUUGUUGCAACAACUGAUUCUAGUAUUUUCGCACCUGCGGAUUGCGGACCGCAGGUGCGGCGCCACAUAAGCGGAGAGUUGGCCGCAAAAGCGAAAAUUGGUCAGGUGAGCUGAGACCGCAGAAGCGGUAAGGAGACCGCAUCUGCGAUGUCGCAGAUGCGGAAAUAUGGUCGCAAAUGCAGUUUAGGUUGGAUAAGUGAUUUCCGCAGAAGCGGAGGAUUUAAGCGCAAAUGUGGCACCGCAGAAGCGGGUUUUGGACUGCAGAUGCGGGUGUCCUUGGGAAGAAUGUAUAUAAGUCUUCCUUCACAAUUUUUGAAGGUUUUCACCAUUUUUAAACCCGGAUUCGGGAGCUUUGGGCGAUUUUGAAGAGAGAAAUCAAGGAGACUUCGUUAAGGUAAGGAUUUUGGACCUAAAACACAUUUCUAUGGUAGUAUUUCAUGGAUUAAGGCUGUAAUUAAAGGAAUUAAAGGGCUAAAAAGGGAGAUUAGGGCUUGAGCUUAAGAGGCUUUUAAAUGAGGAUUUGAAGGGUCAUUUGGACUCCAAUUUUAGUAUUCUUGAUAUGUAUACACUUGUGGGAGGAUAAGGAUUCCGUUGAUGCAAAAAUUAUUGAAUUCCGAGUCAUGGGCCCGAGGGUCAAGUUUUGGUAAUUUUCGGAUUUGUGCCAAUUAUUGAUUGUUUUCGCUUGGGCUUCGUUCCCUUAGCAUAUUUUGAUGCCCCCGUUCUGGGUUUGGAUAGAUUCGACGUGUGUGGAGGCCAAUUCGAGGGGCAAAGGGAUCUCGAGCUAGAGAUUUAGCCGAUUCGAGGUGAGUAAUGAUUGUAAAUGAUGUUCUCAGAGUUUGAAACCCCAGAUUUGCAUAUCAUAAUGCUAUAUUGAGGUAUGACACACGCUUGAUGACGAGCGUGGGGUCGUGCACUAUUGGGGAUUGUGACUUGGUCCGUCCCGGUUGAUGAUUUUACCGCGCAUUUGACUGAAAACUACUUGCUAUCAUCAUUAUUUGGGCUGAAUGCCAUAUUUGGGCUUCGUGCCAAAUAUUUGAAUCCUUCGGGGAUUUUCAUUAUUAUUUCCUCAAUGCUUUGACUUAUUUCUUGAACUCAGUCAUGUUAAUUUCAGUGUUUUACUACUCAUCCAUGUUUACUCAAUUUUAAGACUUAAAUGAUAUUUUAAAUAAUGUUUAGGCUGAGAAACACUGUUUUACCAUUGCCUGAGAGGCUUGUGAUGAUUUUUGACUGAGUAAGGCCGAGGGCCUACGUUGUGAGGAAGCACUGAUACUGAUUAUAUGCCGACGGCUUGAGAUAUGUACGCCACAAGGUGGCUUGAUUGAUAUGAGGCCGAGGGCCUAGAUUUGAUGCCACGAGAUGGCUUGUUAUUACGCUUGGGCCGUAAGGGGUCCCUCAAGGAGUCUGCACACCCCCAGUGAGCGCAGGUACCCAUUGUGAUGUGAGAUUGAGCCAGAUGGGCUGGUAUUGUUCUGAGAUGUUGCCCGAGGGGCGGAUACUAUGCCUGAGGGGGGAACUUCUAUUUGUUUACUUUACCUUAAUUACAUGUCAAUUACUUGUUCACUUGUUGGAAGAGGAUUUUACUUGAUUUUUCAAUGGUUUACUGCUUUUAAAUGAUUUUUUUGCUUCAAUAUAGAAUGUCGUGUGCCUUACAUGUUUUCUUACUCAGUCAUUAUUUACAUUUGUUACUUACUGAGUUGGAGUACUCACUUUACUCCCUGCACCCUGUGUGCAGAUUCAGGCAUUAUUGGUUCUGCUCCCGAGUGCUAAUUCCUCCAGCUUCAGGCGAUGUUCGGAGAUUACGAGGUAGCUAUUGACGUCCGCAACCCCCGUGUCUCUACUCCUUUAUUGAUCCUGUUCUUUUUUCAGACAUUUGUACUAGGUUAUGAUUUUAGCAGAAUUGUAUAUGACUUAUAAAUGCUCAUGACUUGUGACACCCCGGUUAGGGCUGUGUCGGGUUGUAUUUCCGCUACUUAUUAUCUCUAAAUCAUGUUUUAGAUUGCUUUCAUGUUGUUUAACUGCUUUAACAAGUGAAUUGGGUUUAGUUGGCUAGCCUUGUCUUCAUGAGAGGCGCCAUCACGACCAGGUUCGGGGUUAGGGUCGUGAAAAGGUUUGGAAGGGUUCGGG
rnacentral:lncRNA from 1 species